GUUUGCACAGUCAGAGCUGGGGCUGCCGAGGUGUCUGCAGGAGGGCUGGAGCGCUGCAUGGCAGAGGGCAAUUCCUUGCAGGAUCAGUAUUUAGCUCCACAGGGGAGAUCUGCCUUCUUGGCUGGCCAGGCUCAGUCUCACAGAGCACAAAUGUGCUGUGGGGGUCCCUGUCCUUGGAGCCUGAAUGACCCAUCUUUUUACUUUCUUGGCAGCAAUGAGAAGUCUCUCAGGACUUAAACCUGAAAGAAAUGUUUGAUCAAAUGGUGGAACUCCUCCAUCUCCCCAAACCACUCUAUGGAAUGGACUUGUAAAAGAGGGACUUCCAGUCACAGUCUGUCUGUCUCCCCACAAGUCUGGAAGAAGUUGAUGGGAUGAAGGGUGCAGAUGUGGAACCCCCCCCAGAGCAUGAAGAGCUGUAGGAUCCAUUUGGAGAGGAGCACAGCAGAACCCAGGUA